GUUGCGAAAGGUGAAUUAUGUAAACUUAUCAACAACUUGCACAAUGGGUUUCUCCGUGAUCGAAAAUUUCGACGAAUCUUCGAUUUCGUCCGCUUGCGACAUAGUCACAGAUUUCAAAUCAAUUUGAAUCUCCUUGAGGAACCCACUAACCAGAAUCAUAAACUGAACUGCGAUUACACGUGAAAGAAGUCUGGAUCCCGGAACGUUGAUCAAGAUCUUAUCAUUCGUGCUGGCAUUCGGAUUGUUCUCUGUUGCUAUGAUAAUAGCAGUGGCUUUUCACCUCCUGUGCUUUGAAGAAAGAAAGCCGACUGUGAAGGCUGUUUUACAAAGACAAAACAGACUUAAAAACAUUGACUAUACCCUGGUGUGACAUUCAAGAUAUCGAUGUUAUCUCUUGUGGUGAGAGAUUCCAUCGAAGCAGAUGAAUUCUGGCAUUUGCUAUGUAGGAAUUGAUGUUAGGUCUCACUUUGUAAAAGAAACAGAUAACUUGUAACUUAGUUAAGGGUUGAGAGAAAAUGAAUUACAGGUUUUUGUAGGAGAA